rnacentral:lncRNA from 1 species
ACCUAGCUAAAUAAGUGUUAGUAUCAUUCUGUAUUCAGUAAGAAGAAACCGAUUUUCAGGAUAAAUUCAAAGUCUUGUCAUAAUGAAGUGGUUGGCUUGCGGCUUUCUGCUGUUGGCUAUUUUGGAUGGAUAUCAAAGUUUACCAUUCUUCAGAUACCGGAGACCACGGCCCGUAAUAAUACCUGUAUACAUUCCAUUUCCAUACGACUAUGGCUAUAGCCAAUAUCCGCCAUUCAUUAUAAAUAAUAACUCUUUUUGGAACGAUGUAUACAAUCGUAAUACAACAGAUUUCAGUAAGAGUAUAAAUUACGGUAAUAAUUACGGUACUAAUUGGUUUGAAUAGUUUCUCACUGUUUGGCAUGAAGCGGCACAAAGCUUGGAGCUCAUCUUCGUCAAGAAUUCCUGGAUCUAGAUACCAUAUAGAUACAGAUACACAUAGAUAUCAUAUAGAUAUAGAUAUAUACAGAUACGUGCAUACAAGCAUGGUGCUUUACCUGGCCCACUGGCACAUGACAGUUCACAAAACGCACGCCAUUCUCAACCCGAAUCAACAAAAAAAUUGUUCGUAUUUUUUUUAUCCGCAAUCUGUUAAUGUCACCUUCCCGUAUUCUACGUCAUCUUAAAACCGUGCUGCGCCCUCACACAAAUGCAAACACAAAGCAUACGCAACGAUAAUUCAUAACAUUCAUAAAAUUGAGUUACUUCCGAUAUACCAUGACA